rnacentral:rRNA from 1 species
ACGCGAAAGGGGGGCAACCCCCGAGUAGAGUGGCGAACGGGUGAGUAAUACAUCGGAACGUGCCCAGUAGCGGGGGAUAACCUCUCGAAAGAGAGGCUAAUACCGCAUACGACCUACGGGUGAAAGAGGGGGAUCGCAAGACCUCUCACUAUUGGAGCGGCCGAUGUCGGAUUAGCUAGUUGGUGGGGUAAAGGCCUACCAAGGCGACGAUCCGUAGCUGGUCUGAGAGGACGACCAGCCACACUGGAACUGAGACACGGUCCAGACUCCUACGGGAGGCAGCAGUGGGGAAUUUUGGACAAUGGGCGCAAGCCUGAUCCAGCCAUGCCGCGUGGGUGAAGAAGGCCUUCGGGUUGUAAAGCCCUUUCGGCUGGGACGAAAAGGUCCGUGCUAACACCACGGAUCCAUGACGGUACCAGCAGAAGAAGCACCGGCUAACUACGUGCCAGCAGCCGCGGUAAUACGUAGGGUGCAGGCGUUA